rnacentral:misc_RNA from 1 species
GAUGAAGAACGCAGCGAAAUGCGAUAAGUAGUGUGAAUUGCAGAAUUCAGUGAAUCAUCGAAUCUUUGAGCGCACAUUGCGCCCGCCAGUAUUCUGGCGGGCAUGCCUGUUCGAGCAUCAUUUCAACCAUCAAGCCCCCGGGCUUGUGUUGGGGACCUGCGGCUGCCGCAGGCCCUGAAAAGCAGUGGCGGGCUCGCUGUCACACCGAGCGUAGUAGAUUUUAUCUCGCUCUGGGCGUGCUGCGGGUUCCGGCCGUUAAACCACCCUUUUAACCCAAGGUUGACCUCGGAUCAGGUAGGAAGACCCGCUGAACUUAAGCAUAUCAAUAAGCGGAGGA